CUUGCUCGAGCAUCGAACUGUUGGCCCACGAUCUCUUCAUUCUAAUCCCGUGCGCAACGUGUUGCGUCCGGGGGAAUAUGCGGGUUCCUGUGCUGCUUACCCACGCGAGUGGAAUUCAUAAAGAUGUUGCCUGUAUUUCUUCGCCCACCGCCUCCUCCGGGGUGUGUGGCGAACGAUGAAGCGGCAUCCGUGGUCCACACUUGCCCGUCGGGCAGUUUUGGCACACGGAGCGCCGCUGGUGCUUAAGGAUAUGGAAUGCUUUGCGGGCGGAAGGACUCGUUUCCUUCCAUUUGCCCGAUAGACCCACAUACGAGAAAGACACAGGCGCCCGCAGCGGACCCUCGGCAUCCCGCACUGCGGAUGCCGGGGCAACACGCGGGUGCCUGCCGUCGCGGAUGGUUGC
rnacentral:misc_RNA from 1 species